CGUGAAUCUGGGCGGCGGAAUUCAGGAUGACGGGCGUGCCUCGCGGCGCGUCGGUCGUUUGAUAUUUCCGUCGCCGAUCACCCUCAGACGUCGCGACCUGUUCGCGGUCGGUCCCUGCUCGGAGGAGCCGCGUUCGAGUUCGUUGUGUACGCGUUUCGGCGUGUCACACGGCGAAGGCGCGGAUCUCUGGCUGGCCGUCGGACAGUACGCUUACGGUGUCCGGUGCCGUCGUCUCGUACGCGCGCGCACCGGUACCGGUCAGCGACGAAUUCUUCGGGCCUCUUUCCGACCCGUCUUGAAACACGGACCAAGGAGUCUAACAUGCGCGCGAGUCGCGGGGUGUCGAGCGUACUUCGGUGCGUUCGUUACGUUGCGAAACCCGUACAUGUCGAAGGCGUAAUGAAAGUGAAUGGGGAAGAUGGUGUUCCGAGUACACGUUCCGCGAUCAUCGGUAUCGCGGCCGGACACCCGCAUUCCCGGGGCGUCUCAACGGCCCGUCGCUGAUGCGGACAGUCGUCUCUCGGGGUGGUUGUUGUCGGU
rnacentral:rRNA from 1 species